ACCUACCGGUCAUAUUAGGGGGUACUCUAAUGACCUCAUCUUAACUUGAGCAUCUGCAGAGACCCUAUUUCCAAAUAAGGUCACAUUCACAGGUACUAGGGGUUAGACUUCAACAUUUUGGGGAAGGAUACAAUUUACCCAAUAAUGGGUGUGAAGGAAGGAAACAAGCCUUUUCUCCUCUCUCUUCCUCCACCCUGCAUCUCCAUUUCCCUCAGACAAUGACUGAUGUGGUGGGUAACCCAGAGGAGGAGCGCCGAGCUGAGUUCUACUUCCAGCCCUGGGCUCAGGAGGCUGUGUGCCGAUACUUCUACUCCAAGGUGCAGCAGAGACGACAAGAAUUAGAGCAAGCCCUGGGAAUCCGGAAUACAUAGGGCCUCUCCCACAGCCCUGAUUUGACUGCACCAAUUCUUGAUUUGGGCCCUGUGCUGCCUGCCUCAUAGUAUCUGCCUUGGUCUUGCUUGGGGCGUUCCAGGGGAUGCUGUUGGUUCAAGGACAACACCAGAAUGAAGAGGGUCUCACAAGACACCUGUUAUCCUCUUCUUUCACCCUAUCCCUUCCCACCCCCAGCUUCCCUUUGCCCCACAAAGUUCCCAUGUGCCUGUACCCUCCCCUGGUCU
rnacentral:sRNA from 1 species